rnacentral:lncRNA from 1 species
AUGGCUAAGAUUAUCAACUUGGUUUUGAUGCUCUCUCUUCUCCUUGUAGCUGCUUCGGAAGCCCAAUUUCUUGGUAAAUAUAAAUUUUUUGUUUUCGUAAAAAAAAAUGUAACAUAGAUAUGUAAUAUGAUUAUUUAUGUAAUUUUUAAGGUUUAUAUUGACCUUUUUUUUCUCUUUUUUCUUUUUUUAUAUUGAAAUAAGCAAAUGGAAUUUUGAAGCCGCCGGUCACCUUGAAAUGUGAAUCAGUUUACGGUGUGAAAAGUGGAGACACCUGUUUCACGAUUGCACAGACUUUCAGCUUGCCAACUGAGUUCUUCGAUUCAAUCAAUCCCAAUCUGAAUUGCACAGCUCUCUUUGUAGGCCAAUGGGUUUGUCUUAACGGCACACUUAGUUAA